rnacentral:lncRNA from 1 species
GACUGGUGGCCCGUGUACUUGGGCUGGUGGCGGGUGUCAAGAGUCUGGUAGAAGACGGCCAUCAUCACGGCGAAGAAGCCGGCCAGGAAUGAGUAGAAGACCAGGUAGAACAGUAAGAUCUUGGCUGCAAGAUACAACGUGGCUAAGAGCAACUUCAGGUAAACAACGCUCACCAGCAUAGUUGGGCGCAAGAUCCAUUGGUGCGAGUGUGAAGGUGCUCAGGGUGGUGGAGGUGCCUAUCAUGACAAACACCAGCAGAGCAGACACUACCCACUUGUGGCAUCCUGCCCACACCAUACAACAUAGACCCACAACCACUAACAUCAUUCCUGCAAAAGUGAAGGACAGAGCUGUAAUAUUUAAAGAACACUACCUGCAUCUUGAGAAAAGUUGGCCCCUCAGUGAUGGUCUGAUUUCCUACCCAAGAAGUCGCAAACUCAGCCAGAAUACAUGGGUAGAAUCUAUAGCAGCGGAUAAGAUAUGAGUGGGUGAUUGAUGGGAGAGUUGCGGACAAAAUACAGCCAGAAAGGUGUCCACACAAGUGCCAAUGUGCCACCACCCCAAAACACCCACUGCCAUCCUAGCUGAUGUACCACCCACCCAGAGGUGCCAAUUGCCACCAAACUGCCCAAGGACAUUCCUGAAUGAGACAGAGGAUGACAAAAAGUGGAGCAGCUUGUUCAGUGUGUUGCGAGUUGAAAUGGGACUGACAAUCUGUGGUCAUAGAUGGAUAAUUCUGCCCCCACAUUUAUGGCAGGACCUGCGGUUUCCAGGUACGUGUGUCUAAUUUUGCCCCCACUCAACAGUGUUUCGGUAAGAAUAAAGGAGAGCACACAGUCGCAAUAUUUUUCAGCCAACCUCGGGUACAGGGAACUUUCGGUUGUAACACGACUGCGCUGCCUACUGCGCCACAAAUUACUUGACCCUUGUUAUCUGACACGUGUUACCUCAAAGAAGUUGUCUGCCUCGU